UGCCGCGCGCACCAAGCUCAUCGCAUACGCACUCGGCACAGCCCAAUUCCAUCGGCCCAGUUUUCCGUCGCGCGGGCUCUGCACCGCACCGGCCGCCUUCGAAGCUUCCCGCGCGGCGAGGCCGAUCCGCGGCGCAGGCGCGCGCUGCCCGCGUCAUCUCGCGCCAAUCGCGCCGACUCUCUGCAGAGCCGCGGGGCGUGUGCGGCGUGUCCGUCGCGCCGCGCGGUCGGCAGUUCAGGCCAACAUGGCGCUCCUUGCCGUCUCCGUCGACUCAUCCUCCCUGCCGCGGCAGCAGCAGCAGCAGCAGCAGCAGCAGCAGCAGGACGACAACAACAACAGCUGCUGCUGAACAUCGCGCAGGGCCAGAGGCUGUUUAUCCUGCACCGCGAUCCUCGACUCUCGCGCGAGCGGGGAUGCUGCGCGCAGCGAGAACCUAACCUCUACGGAGGACGGUCGUCGUGCGAGAGCAAUGAGUAUGCGGAACUGCAGAAUGCGAGCGAGCGCAGUAGUAGCGAGUUAGCGACUUAGCGAGUCCGCGAUGACAGCGUGAAAGGGAAAUCAAAUCAGUCUCGAGAGGGAGAGAUAGCGAGUCAGCGCCCGAACGGAAUUUCACGCAGCACAGGAGCAUCCCGGUCUGCACACAUGGAGCAGCCGCCCGUACUGUCGACGACGACCAGACGUCGCGGGCACCAGCAUCACCCGCGGCACGCGACGAGACGUCGUCUGGACCUGCAGCAGCAGCAGCAGCAGCAGCAGACAGUAGUGAGCAGCAGCUCCUCCUUGACCCCAAACUCCUCGGCCCCCGACAGAGGACCCGCGCAGUGUGGCCCUGUCGGGGUUACGAAUGAUGCCAGCGCAAUCAACAGCAAGCAAUCCUGCGCUGCUCAGCAGCAGCAGCAGCAGGAGAGCCCCAACAGCAGGCUACAGGCCGGACCUAACCUCAACCUCGACCUGCUGCUGGGCUCGCCCAGGCGAAUUCCUGGGGCCUCGCGGCCCUCGGCCGACAAGUCCAACUGUGAUAGUAGCGGCGAACUAAUCGUCAUCCAGGAUCAAAGACCCGCGCAGUGUGGUCAGCUGGAUGACGAUGCGCAGGCAGCAAGCAGCAAACUAGAUCUGCUCAGCAAGCACUUCUCCGAUGAGGAGGACGAUUACCUGGGCGACAGCCCCGAGCUCGAGCACGCGGACGCAAGAGCUCGGGGUGAUGGCAAUUCGGACGAGGAGUCUCUCACGCUCGAGGAGGAUCCGGAGAUAGCCGAGCUGGCUAAGCUUCGCUGCUCCAGCGAACAGACCGAAGUGCAGGCUGCGAGAGAAGCUAGGAGAAGAAAACGUUGCGCUGACUAUCCUGGCCUGGCGUUUGGCUGCUCCAUAUUCUCCAGCGAUACCAUGAUCAAGUUCAGUCUGAUAAGGAACGAGUUGCAAAAUAUUAUGGGCAAUCAGCUGAAAAGGGCUGAGUCCGAGGUUGCCGCUCUCAACCGGCGCAUCCAGCUGCUCGAGGAGGACCUCGAGAGAUCCGAGGAGCGUUUGGCUACUGCCACCGCCAAGCUCGCCGAAGCCUCUCAGGCUGCCGAUGAGAGCGAACGCGCCCGCAAGAUCCUCGAGAACCGCAGCUUGGCGGACGAGGAGCGCAUGGAUGCCCUGGAAAAUCAGCUGAAGGAAGCUCGUUUCCUCGCAGAAGAGGCCGACAAGAAAUACGAUGAGGUUUGCGAACCUUCGGGAACUGCUGCCAGUGCUUGUGGUGGUGUUGUUGUUGUUGUGAAAAAUAAUAAUGAUAAUAACAACGAUGGUUCCUAGUAGUAGUAGUAGUCGAUAGUCAGCAGAACGACUGCGCGCCUACAGAGAGUGAGCGUCAAGCUGAAAAAGAUGAAAAAGUGCCUAUAAUAACAAAACGAGAGAUGUUGAUUUGUGUGUCAAACUGUGGGAGUUAAUUACUAUAAUUAUUGUCAUUACAAUUUACGCGGUCAUUCGAGCGCGCGCGCGCUUUUUGUUAGAAUUUUUUUGUUUUCGAUUAUUACGACAGCUAACGCGUAUUCUGCUGCUGUCGAUCGCGAUGGUGCUCUGUGUGUACAUAAGAAAAAUGUUUGUACGUACACGUGCAGAAAUUUGUUGGUUGUUAUUGAUGGCAAUUCUCUCGUCAGUCCGCUGCCCCUCUAGAGCAGCAGCAGCAGCAGCAGCAGCGGAUGACACUGGAGAGAGAAGGAAAAAUGAAAAAAAGUGUUUGGUGCUCGAAAAGUUUAUUCCGUUGCCGUGUACGUAUAUACACGCUGCUGUUCGCGCGGAAAUGAUACCAGAAGCGCGAGUGAUAUUAACCGAGAAACGUUGUGAUAAAAAAGAAAAGCAAAGAUCGUAAAGUAAUGACGGGCUUAGGAAAAUGGUGCUACGCUGUAAGAAUUUUCGGGUUAUUAAUUGGGUAUAUAGAUGUAAAACUUUUAAAAUGAGUUAAGGGUGAAAAACUGUUUUAUUAGAAAAAUCGGUGCCGAAGAAUCGAGUAACUCUGUAGUUUCAUUAAAACAUUGUGCGCGAACUGUCCGUGUUUCUGUUUCGGCUGCUCUGCGUUUUGACUAUAACGCGCGUCAUUCGUGCGCACUACUCCGCAAAAUCGAUGGUCACAGAAUCGUUUUGGGGCCGGGAAACAAGAGGCCGCCAGAAAGCUAGUCAUGAUGGAACAGGACCUCGAACGCGCCGAGGAGAAGGCUGAGCUGUCCGAGACGAAAAUCGUCGAACUGGAGGAGGAGCUGCGCGUCGUCGGCAACAACCUCAAGUCUCUCGAGGUCUCAGAAGAGAAGGCCACGCAGAGGGAGGAGUCCUUCGAGGGUCAAGUUAAGAUUCUGGACAGUCAGUUGAAAGAGGCUGAAGCUCGUGCUGAGUUCGCUGAGAGAUCCGUGCAGAAGCUCCAGAAGGAGGUCGACAGGCUCGAAGACGACCUUGUUGCCGAGAGAGAGAAAAACAAAUUGCUGCAGGACGAGAUGGAGGCGACCCUGCAUGACCUCCAAAACAUGUAAAACACGUUCCCGAUUAUCCCUGCCGUGGUCUGUUACAUUGUGGUGCAAAAUACCUAAAUAAGGGAUACGAAACAGAAAAAAACACUGCAAACUUUAGGCUUAGUAUUUACUGCUACGCAUAUCCUCUACGAUCGCAAAAGCGAGAAAAACUUUUCAGCCAGAUUGGUGCACGCACACAAAUAACGGAAUUAAUCGAAUGACGCUUGAUUUGAGGAUUAAAAAAUUCUUAAUGAAACAAAGAACGUAACUUAACCGUCCGACAAACAAAAAAAGUAAAUAUUCAAACGAUCGUGAGUUAGACUUUUUUAUAUACGCAACAUUUAUAUAAGGCAUUAUAAAAACGGUUUCGCAAGCAUUUUUGCUUGGUUUUCGCCACAAAAAAAAAUGGCUUUUGGUCAAUGCGCAAAAAAGAAGUAAAGUAUCGUGGUAAUUAUUAAGAGCCGAAUCUGUGUAGAGUGAAUAGAAAAAAACUGCCUUUUUAUGUAUUGGCAUUUCGAGCGAAACUUGCUUUUUGCGACGCUGGACAAAUAGAAAAUUAUUAAACUAUAGGCAAUAAAACAUGCAAUACUUGCGUUAUUUUUAGAUUAAAGUGAUUUCGAAUCGAUUAUUGUGUAGCGCGCGAGAGGCUGUGGACGAGUCUUGUCUUGCAGUGCCUUAUGGGCCAAAUGUAUGUUGUAUCUAACAAAAUCAAGUUUUCAAAUUUUUAAACAUCGGCUACUUUUCGAUCUAUAAAUUCCGUUAUACAAAAUUUUCGACUUCCUAUUUGCGCGUAAUCAAUAAAAAAAGAAAAUGGGGCAAUUUUUAAUUUGUACAAGACUGUAUGUGCCGAUAAAGAAGAUUCCUGCACUCGGCUAGCCUCUAUAAUUGCGUGCGAGUAUCGCUUGAAAUGUAAUAUUCAGAAAUAAUAAGUCCAUCAAUCGUCUGUCUGUUACGAAGAUUAAAUAAGGCUAUAACGCGGUGGACUGAUAAUAAUUGAUUUCGCGGGACGAAUUCGCGCUUCUGCUGCAUUUCGACCAUUGAUAAAGGUUUCAAAUUAACGAGAGAACGCAAACUGUUUGAAAGCUGUGUGUCGGGAGCGCAAUUUGCAGUCAAUCGCGCAAGUACAGAGCUUAUAUAAAAUUUAACGCCAACCAAUUUUGAUUCAAACAUUCCGUUACGCGACUAAGUCCAACGUGUGCUAGAACGUAUAAUACUGUAAUUGGCAAAAAUCUAUUAAGCUAUACUUUUUCUUCUACGUUUUAAAGUUAAAAAUGUCAUUCCGUUACAAGCACAAAAUGAUUCCGGGGCUUUUUUGUACUAUAUCUUUUUCCUGGCUCUUACAAGCUUAUGUCGUCAAUCGUUUUUUCUUCAGACGAAAGCGCGUAUCACUGUUAAUGGGUUGCAUAUUGUGUACGACUUGACAAAGAAAAGCGUCGAGUACGUACAGAUCAAAUGCUGUAUACAUGAUCAAAAGUAGGGAAAACGGUGCGCGUUAUAUAGUUAUUUUCUAAAUCGCUUAAUUGCAAAUGAAUGAAUUAAAAGUGUCUGACGCGACGACGACGAGAGCCCCGAAGUAUAUCGUUAGUCUAUUAAUUUACUUAAUAAAACAGAUAAACGAUUGGAAUAAUCAUAACACUAAUAUUGUAAUAUUAUAAUUAUAUAUAUAUUGCUAUUAUAAAUAUGUUUAUAAUAUAUAUUUUGAUUUUCAAGUG